rnacentral:lncRNA from 1 species
UUCAAUCGUAAUUUGUGCAUGAAUAAAAAUAUAACAUAAUCGAAAAUUGAUUCUUUAAAAGCAAUUAUAACAAUAUUUUUUAUACAAUGAAGAGAGAUUAAGAUAAAUGAAGAACGAUUAGCAGUCAAGUUUUCAAUUGAAUGACAAUGAAAACGUAGAGAAAGCAUAGGACCCUCAUUCCGUUUCCUCCUCCUCUAGUACACUUGUAGCUCCACAUAAGCCUUAUUUUCCGCCCUAGCAUAAGUUCUUCGCGGUUAAGUUGGAAUCUUUUACACUUUGAAUGCCAUCAACAAUAAAUAGCAAUUAAUUAGACCAUAGACAUGUGUGCCGUCAUAAGAUGUAUGAAGAGCUUAUAAGUUGUCAAAGUGAUUGGAUAUUCAAGCUUAUAAGUUAGAAAGAGAUAAUCGUAGUUAGAGAGAGAAAAUUUAUGGGAAAUGAAAUUGAAAGGCUAUGUGUUGAAAAUAACAAACCAUAGUAAAGUUACAGUUGUAAAUUGAUUGUUUCUUAUAAGAUCAUGAAAAAAUAUGGUGGAAUUGUGAAAAUUAGAUGAUCAUUUUUAACAAAGGUAUUGUUGUAAUCCGGUAAAAUCCAUGAAGAAUUUAAAAAGCGGUGAACUUAAUCCCAUGAACAAUACUCCUUCCAUCAAAAGGGCGAUUUUGCCAAACACUCUUAAAUAGCUUAUAAGUUGUUUUAAGCAGCUUAUGAGCUCAGCCAAACACCCUUUUUAGUUGUGCCUUUCUUGAGCUAUUCUUCUCAAUUUUCACGUACCCCUUCUCGGGCACCUUUGAUCUUUUGUGACCAACUCGAGUAUGUGGCUUGGUCCAAGUUACGUAGUUCCAACGCCGAAAAGUCAUUGUGUUCCUGCCGUCGCCUUUGCUUGCUUCAUGAAUCUCACCAACACAUUAUCCUUCUCAUCCAACUUUCCGAACACUUCAACUCACCAACACCUUUGCUUGGUCCUCUCCUAUUCCUAAGGAGACCUUGGCGAUUCCAUUUAACACUACCAUGUCUUUCUCCUCCUCUAACCCUAUUAUGGGUCUUGGGGACAGCUUCCCUUCCCCCAGUGAGGGCAGCGGAGGAACGGAUGCAGUGUUGGUGGCAUUAGAAAGAGUUGGCAGCGGUUUUGGUGAAGAAGCAAGAAAGAUUGGAUGAGAAAUUAGAGAGAGAGAUAGUGAAGUCGCGCGGUUAGGGUUCAAGUCUAAACCUUGACAUUUUUGGGUGAGUCGUAUAUAUAUAAUUCAAUGGCACCGCCAUAUCCACCAUCACAGCCGCCAUACAGAAAAACUGCAUGCCAUGGGGUGGUGCCGUGGUGGUGGUGGCGGAAUCCUCAAAAACCGCCACCACCAUGGUGGAAACUUAACGACAUUGAUGUAUAUUUUCAACUUGGAAAACUAAAUAAAUGAAUUAUGCAUUAGAAAUAUAUACUAGAGUGAGGUUGGUAAUUUUAUACUAAAAGGAAUCCCUUUGACAUUUAUGAAAGGUGUCAUCAGAUCUCUCUAGGAUAAAAACCGAGGGUGUAUAGAGAAAAGAUCUUAUUAGCUCUUUCUAACUUCUUAACUUUAAGGUUAUAGAAUGUUAUAAUAAUAGAAUACACAAAUGAUCACAAGUUGUUAACUAAUAAAGCAUCACAAUCAAAAGCAUCUUUCAUCUAUGUUCUUUACGGGAGGGGACCCCAGUUGAACCACUUGAAAGAUCUUUUUAAGAUAAAUUCAUUAAUAUAGUUGGAUGAGAAAUGUAGAGAACAAAAAACAUAGUAUAUGAUAUUUUGUCCAAAAAAAAGAGAUAUAUUCAUAGAAAUUGUAGAGUGAGAUUACAAACCUUAACCUCCCUCUCUCUUUAUCUUGAACACGACAAGCUAGCGACAUCAGCAGCAAAGACAGUUUAUCUACUUAGGUUGAUGUGAUACAGUUUAUCUUUAUGCCCCUUUUGAAUCUUUGAAAUGUAUAAUUUUACAGGCUGAAGCUGAACAGAUGCUUUUAAAUGAUUUGAGAAUCCGUUAUACUUAUUCUACAAGGAUGAUUUGGGCAAAAUAAAACAAUAGAAAAAGAAAAGGAAACUGAUGUAUUGUGUAUUUACCAGAAGGGGGAAUGCACGUCAAUAUUCCUCUGGAGGGGCGUUAAAUGUUGACAUUCGUGGAGAUUGUACAAAUCAGGUCCUGUCCUAUUCUUGGAGGUUUAGAUUGAAGACCUUUCCUCAGUUAGUAGACUUGCUAGUAGAUUAAUCUUCUAUACCUAGAGCUAUAUAGGUAGGCUAAACAAUGUAUUAAUUUGGUGAGAAUUUCUGCACUGGAAGUUAACUAAAAUAGUGAAUAGUUCACUUCCAAUGAAGGUGUCAAACCAGUUUACAUGGUGAUCAAAUUUCUAGCAUGAUUUAAUUUUAAGAUUUUUGCAGGGCCCAUCUAUGCUAUAGUUGCACCUAUAUAUGUAUGAUGUAUCUAUACAGAAGUUCGCAUUUAGCGACUAUAGGCCAGAAGAUAAGAACAAGUGGCAAGACAUGCCCCAGUUGUGGUAGCUUUUCUUUGUUUUUUUAUCCCUCCACUUGGUUACAUCUUACAAUCCGUUACUGAUGAUUGUGAUGUAUGAAAAAUUCUAAUGUGGAGUCUCUUGCUAUAUAGAUUGGAAUUGGUGAUUAUCUAUUUAAGCAAUUUUUAUCACCAUAUCUUGACUCAUACCUCAAAAUAUUUGAAGCUAAUAUAAUAUUAUAAUGAGAUUUUUGCUGCUGAUAUGCUUGUGUUAAAGAUGUAUAAUAUCCUCUAGAGACUGGUGCUAGCUAGCUAGCACAUGUGCGUGCAUUAUCUUCCUUUUUAUAUUUAUCAUUCACUUCAAACUAUCUAAAAUGUUUAUUGUAUGAUUUACAAAACUUCAUUACUUUGUAUGAUGAAAGAUUUCCUACUUGAAAAGUCUUAUGCUUGAGUCGGCAAGAAUGUCUGGAUAUUUACCUCGAGAUUAUGCUUUAUUUUUUCAGCCAUUUGCAGUUGUUAUCUUUUAUCAUUCAUGCUAGGCCCAUGGACUUGUGUCUUUUAGUACGUGUCUUCUUUUAUUUGUGAGUGAUAUUCUGACUUAACUGAACUAGAAUUGCUAUCCAGCUUGAGUGAGAUCCUGCAACGAUAUCAUAGUCGGACUGAGACAGAUGCAGGUCCCUCAAGUCAAAGUUGUGAGACACAGGUAAGCGGAUCUGUUUAUGAAAUUAAAGUGGGUUUAAUAAGGCCUCUGUGCAGGUUUGUUUUUAGUAAAAGCCAAAACAUGUCUGAAGGUAUAUAUUCAAGUAUUUAUUCAUCUUACCAUAAUUUGUGGGACAGUUUUUAUAUAAAUAUAAUUUGUGGGACAGUUUUUAUAUAAAUAUAAAUUUGAAAGCAAAUAUAAUAAUAUAUGUAUGGAUGUUUACAUGCGUGUCAAUGUAAGAUGUAGAUGCAAAAUAUAGAUUAUAGUAUUUAACAUAAAUAAAUUUUAAAAUCAAUAGUUUUAUCAUGGACCAUGCAUGCAUGUAGUGAUUUGAUUGGAAGUUAAUUUGAAAUUGGUCUAUAUUUUAGCCUUAGUUGAACAAAAAUUCCAUAAUUUCAUUUGCCAAUAGAUUUCUUUAACACCAAUGUGUGAUUAUGCUUAUGCAUGUUCCAUACUAAUUACUACAUUCUCUUCAUACAAAAUUGUAUAUGUUUAUAGUAAAACGUUGUAUCCAAGUGUAUAACAUAAUAAAUGAAUUUACAUUUUCAAAGAUUUGUGCGUAAAUGUACAUAAAAACUACAUAUAAAUGUAAAGAGCAUAGGGUUAAUAGUAGUUAUGACCUCAACUUUAAUUUAUCCUUUAAUAUCCUGAACUUUGCAAUAUGUUUAAUUUUGUUCUGGGCCGUCGGAUAUCUGACUAGCUCACCCAUAAAUGCAAGAAAAAAANAAGAUAUGAUACGAUUAACACGUUUUACAGAUGAGCCUAGUUUGAUAUCCGACGACUGAUAUUUUUGCUGGGAGGCAAAAUUAAACAAAUUUGCAAAGUUCAGGAUAUUUAAAAAAGGGAUUAUAGCAAAAAAAUACACGAACUUUGAUAAAAGUUGCAAUUUUCACCUGAACUUUCAAAUUAGCCAAAAUAUACCUGAACUUAUAUUUUUUGUUGUAAAUUUCACCUGAACUUGCAAUGAUUGAACUCCGUCGAGGUGAAAUUUACAACAAAAAAUAUAAGUUCAGGUAUAUUUUGUCUAAUUUGAAAGUUCAGGUGAAAAUUGCAACUUUUAUCAAAGUUCGUGUAUUUUUUGGCUAUAAUCCCUUUAAAAAAUAAGUUAAAGUUGGGGUCAUAAUUAACUACUGUUAACCCUAUAACAUAUGCUUAGUUGUUUGAUAUAUUUUUUGUAAGUUCAUAAGCAUUACAUUAUUUAUGAUUGUAAUCAUUAUUUUUAUGAAGAUUGUAUGUAGGGGUGGUUUUUUCUAGCUUGUACAUUUUUAGACAUAUAUAUCUAUAGUCCAAAUUGUGUGACUUAUUUAGCAGACACUCGGUUUGAGUUAUUUUUCAAAUUUUGCUUCUCAACUAUUUUUCCUAUAAUUUAGCACUAGUCUCUAGAACAGCACCUAGUAAGAAUAUUUGUGAUACUUCAAAUAUUUGAGUAUCCAUAUAAUUAUAAAGAAAAUGGGUUUUAGAUAGUGAUUGAAUCAUAACUGAAAACAGGGAUCAUAGUCCUAAAUUAAUUGUAUGUGUAUAUUAUGAAGGUCAUUGGUUGUGUUUCCAUGUCAGGCUAAAUAUUCGCGUUUCCUGACAUGUGAGGAGCUCCUACAAGUAGUAGAAAGGCAGCCACUUCAUCCCUCCCUCUCCCUCCCCUUACACUUUACUUUGUUAAGUUGGCAGUCAUGACUACAACAGCUCUUUCUAUUUAAUUCUGCAGGGAGCUUGAGGAGCCAUCCGCCGACGACCUCAGUGUCGCCGACUUUAUACAUCUUGAGAAACAAUUUGAGACUGCACUAAUACAGGCCAGAGCAACUAAGGUAACUGAACUUUCAUUCUUAAUAUGAAGUGAUAAUGAGUUAUGCUGCUUACCAGCCAACUGUUUUGUCGUAUCGGCAUGCCUUUGUGUUAAAAGUUAUGCCCAUUUGCAGUCCAAGCAGAUGAUUCCGUUGAUUCUCAAACCUAGGAAGGAGCUCAGGCAAAAUUAUACUACAAGAUGAGAAAUGCUUGUUUGGUCUUCUAAUAAAAAAUAAAAAUAUAUAUAUGCACUAGGAAGGAGCUUGUGUAUAUAUAUAUAUCUCCUGACUGACCACAUAUUAUCAAAUGCAUAAUCUGGAUUGAGUUGAGCGACCUAUUAUACGUACAUAUGUAUCAAUUUUACAAUUUUCUUAUGCUUAACUUCCAUUAAUAGUUGGUAGAUUGAUUCUUAUUUGAUUGCCGAGUUUGUUGCUUAUGCAGACACAAUUGCUUCUGAAGUCUAUAUCAAGCCUCGAGGGAAAGGUAAACAUUUGCAUCUUGUAUUUUUGGUGAAGACUGCUAAGCCAUGAACCAUGCAAAUGAGUUAUAUAUAUUCACAACGGGUUUAAACAUAAGGAGAGGAAUUAAAGAGAUGCUGUGUAUUACAAAAGUGGAAAAGUUAAGGAGUCACCUUAUUUAUACCUUGAUUUUGAACAGGAAAAGCUGUUAGAGGAAGAGAAGAUGUUGUUGAAGGGGAAGGUAUAUUUGUAGACUUGGAUAUACAAUACAACUGAAGUAAUGAUGUUUAGUUAGUAACUCACUGAUUAAGAACAGAUUGGUGGGAGCAAGACGAAAAUACCGGUGAUCGAUCUCAACGCCCUUCCUUCCGAGGAGUGAAUGGCUGAAUACUAGCUCAAGCUCUCAGAAUAAUAAGUGGCAAGAAACACAUUCACAGCUCAGUUUUUACAUUCUGAAAGCCCGAGCAAAUCACACAUUCUCUCACCUUCUUGACGAAACCGGAUGCAUAUAUAUAUUGGUGGUUCAGCAUGGAAAUAAACAAGAAGAAAGCAACAUCCAUGGCAAAAAGAAAAGAGAUGAGACGUGGCGGAAUGUGAUUGGGGAGAAUCCACCUUUCAUCAAAGACUAAUGCGUCUCCACUUGUAUUUGUAUCAUAUUCAUAUAUAUACGCUCAAGAGAGAUGCUGCGAUUUAUUUAAAUCUUAAUUAAUACCUGAAUAAAUACUCGUAUAGACAGUCGACGGUAGGGAAAGUAGAAGAAAGACGUGGUGGAAUGUGAGUGCUACAAUAUUAAUUAGGCUGCCCACUUUGUUUUUUAACAACAUAACUUUAAUGGAAUCGCAUCUACGUCGACGAUACGUUCACUUCUCUGCACCCAUAGCUUAAUCGAAUAGAUUAUAGAGCCAAAUGUGCCACGUCUACACGUCGUCUCCUCCCAAUAAUUCAUAUGCAUG